rnacentral:miRNA from 1 species
CGCGGAAUUAGAUUGUGAUC